rnacentral:rRNA from 1 species
CUGGAGGUAUCAGAAGUGCGAAUGCUGACAUAAGUAACGAUAAAGCGGGUGAAAAGCCCGCUCGCCGGAAGACCAAGGGUUCCUGUCCAACGUUAAUCGGGGCAGGGUGAGUCGACCCCUAAGGCGAGGCCGAAAGGCGUAGUCGAUGGGAAACAGGUUAAUAUUCCUGUACUUGGUGUUACUGCGAAGGGGGGACGGAGAAGGCUAUGUUGGCCGGGCGACGGUUGUCCCGGUUUAAGC